UUCUAUAGUUCCUGAGCUACAGAUAUUCUGUCCUGUUGUAACUUAAACAGAACACUUCAAAAGUGAUUUGAGUUGUUCAACAUGGGAUCUCUUCAUAGAAAAAGAGUGUCAGUAAAUGUAUAUAAGCUUUAAAUACUUUACAUAGUAGCUUUGUAAUCUGAGAAAACAGGAUGCCAAAAUUAUAAAAGGUUUUUUCUUUACAACUGUACAAUUAAACACAUUAAGAGCUAAGGAAUUUAACAAUAUUGUGUUCAGAACAACUUGAGCUAUAACGGGGAGGGGGGGGGAGUAUUCCACAAUUCCUGAAAGUUAUUUCAUGAAAUGUCCCCUCAGAUCGGUGGGAAAGGACAAAAAAGCUAUUCAGGCAUCGAUUAGACGCAAUAAGGAGACCAAUACUGUUCUGGCCAGACUGAACAGUGAAUUGCAGCAACAAUUAAAGGAUGUUCUGGAAGAGAGAAUUUCACUGGAGGUUCAACUGGAACAGCUCCGACCCUUCUCUCACUUAUAAACCAAUUGCCAUUAACUGUGAAAUAAUUAACUCUGAAACAGAAAUUUGGGUAAAAGGCCUAAUUAAAAUCCCAUAUGUUUCACUCAGUGCACUCUUAACAUUUUUGUUGUGAUUGUUAUGUCCUCUGUCCACAGUUGUAUUUAAGUAACUUUUUAUAAUUUUAAUACAAAGAAUGGAAUAAGCAUUUCCUUGAAUGUUCAGUAUAUUGGCACUGCCAAUCUUCCCAUUUUCUUGGGAGGACAUAAUUUUUAAGUUGGAGCCAGAUUUAUACAACUUAAGUGGCCUAUAUCCCAAACUGGAACUGAAUACUGAAUGAAUUUUCUAUCUUUCACGUCAAAAAUCAUGAAUAAAAACAUCCCAAUAGCUACCUUUAUCACAAAAGCACAUAUAUCAUAAAUACCUUUUACACAUCUGUCUUACUGUUUAAAUGGAAAUUAACCAGCUGUGGUCAUCGCUGAUCCCCAAAAUCAGAGUUCGCAGUCUUGCAAAUCAUUAGUAAUUUCAGAAGCCUAUUCUUUUUGAGUAACCCAAUUAUCUUCCAAGUCCUGCCUAUGUCCUUUAAUACUUUGCCAUGCCAAAUUCUGUUGUCCUUGUCUGUUAAUUCAUUGCAUGUAUGACCACAGCUUGACUAUUGUUGAAAUGUUUGCGUUCAUGAUGUCAUUUUUGCAGUCUGCACACAAAGCGUUUCUCUUCUGUGAAAGGAUCGGGUGUCUAUCUCAGUCAUGCAUAUUUCCUGAACACCACAUAUAGUUGCAUGCUUUGCACAUUAUCCUUUACAAACUGACACACCCACCAAACAUUACUGUAACACACUUUGUGGUCAAAAAGUGUGUCAGUACCUCAACUCUUCCCCAGUCUUUCCCCUCCACUCCUCACCCCACCCUCAAUUUGUGUUUCUUAAAAAGUUGGGGUUCUUAUUUCUGUUCAUGUCUCCAAGCAUUCUUCUUCUGGCUUGUAGACAGGCUUCAUUAUUAACACAACGUUUCCUGAGUGUAUCCUGCUAUUCAGGUUGAUGUACUGUAUUAGGAUUUGUUGUAUAUUGUAUAAUACACACCUUUUGAUCUCACAUGUAAAUUUGCAUUAAUGCUGACUAACAGCAGAUAUUCUAUUUAAUGGCUUAUUCUGGCUGUGGGAUCAUAGAUGUUAAAAUGCAUGGAAGUAUCUCAGCAGAAUCAGAACUAGCAACUGUGUGAUUUUUACAAAAAUAAAACAGCACAAUAUUUUAAUUGGAGUUAAUUCUUUUAAUUUGGCUUAAUAACGAGACAAGUGGACAGAAGGCAAGUUUUUUUACUGAAUAUAAAAAGGUAAAGGUUCCCCCUUGCACAUAUGUGCUAGUCGUUCCCAACUCUA